AUACAAAAAUAUUUAUUUACAGCACUUUGAUUCUGUACAAUAAUCUGGCGCCGCCAGGCAUAAUUGGUUUUAAACUUAGAGAGUCUAAGAUUCACAAAUACCAGUUCUGGGUCUAAUUUGUAAGUGAAACAAUACAACUAGUCUAAUAUUCUUACAAAGUUAACAAAAAUCUUGGCAAUAGCAUCCACCAAUAACUAGAAAUAUGAAAAUUAGUGCAACAGUUCCCAUUUACACAAUGAAAUCAUUUUCGCUUAUCUGAUUUUUUUGUUCUACAUGCUAUACAAUACAACAUCAAAGAUUACUAUACAUUAAAGUUUUAAUGCCCUUUCCAUAAACGUGGCACACUUGUAUAUUGUAACAUACAAAAACUUAAGACCAACAAUAAACAAAAAAUCUAUCACCAGAUGUUGGGCGUAAAGGGUAGGUACACACUGAGUGCGUGAUCCGUAAAUUACUCUACUGUUCGUAGUCACAAUUACACCCGGGCCGGUGACUUAAAAACUAUCUUGAGGUGAUUCUACAAAGGAUUUAAAAAAAAAUUCUUAUAUCCGGAAUCGU